GAUGAACGCUGGCGGCGUGCCUAAUACAUGCAAGUCGAGCGAACGGACGAGAAGCUUGCUUUUCUGAUGUUAGCGGCGGACGGGUGAGUAACACGUGGAUAACCUACCUAUAAGACUGGGAUAACUUCGGGAAACCGGAGCUAAUACCGGAUAAUAUUUUGAACCGCAUGGUUCAUAAGUGAAAGACGGUCUUGCUGUCACUUAUAGAUGGAUCCGCGCUGCAUUAGCUAGUUGGUAAGGUAACGGCUUACCAAGGCAACGAUGCAUAGCCGACCUGAGAGGGUGAUCGGCCACACUGGAGGUGGGACACGGUCCAGACUCCUACGGGAGGCAGCAGUCGGGAAUCUUCCGCAAUGGGCGAAAGCCUGACGGAGCAACGCCGCGUGAGAGAUGAAGGUCUUCGGAUCGUAAAGCUCUGUUAUGAGGGAAGAACAUAUGUGUAAGUAACUGUGGACAUAUUGACGGUACCGAAUCAGAAAGCCACGGCUAACUACGUG
rnacentral:rRNA from 1 species